CCUGAGAAACGGCUACCACAUCCAAGGAAGGCAGCAGGCACGCAAAUUACCCACUCCCGGCACGGGGAGGUAGUGACGAAAAAUAACGAGGCGGUUCUCUACGAGGCCCGCCAUCGGAAUGGGUACAAUUUAAAUCCUUUAACGAGGAUCUAUUGGAGGGCAAGUCUGGUGCCAGCAGCCGCGGUAAUUCCAUCUCCAAUAGCGUAUAUUAAAGUUGUUGCGGUUAAAAAGCUCGUAGUUGGAUCUGCGGUCAAGGAAUGUGGUCCUCCGACGGAUGGUUACUGCUUUUCCUGACCUAACUACUUCGGUUUUCCCUUGAUGCUCUUAACCGAGUGUCUUGGGCGACCGAAACGUUUACUUUGAAAAAAUUAGAGUGCUCAAAGCAGGCGUUCAGCCUGAAUAGUGGUGCAUGGAAUAAUAAAAGAGGAUCUCGGUUCUAUUAUGUUGGUAUUGGAUUGAGAUAAUGAUCGACGGGGAUAGACGGGGGCAUUCGUAUUGCGACGUUAGAGGUGAAAUUCUUGGAUCGUCGCCAGACGAACAACUGCGAAGGCAUUUGCCAAGAAUAUGCUCUUCAAUCAAGAACGAAAGCGAGGGGCGCGAACGCGAUCAGAUACCGCGGUAGUUCUCGCCGUAAACGAUGCCAACUAGCGAUCCGCCGGAGUUAAAUGAUGACUCGGCGGGCAGCUUCCGGGAAACCAAAGUUUUUGGGUUCCGGGGGAAGUAUGGUUGCAAAGCUAAAACUUAAAGGAAUUGACGGAAGGGCACCACCAGGAGUGGAGCCUGCGGCUUAAUUUGACCCAACACGGGGAAACUCACCCGGCCCGGACACCGUAAGGAUUGACAGAUUGAGAGCUCUUUCUUGAUUCGGUGGGUGGUGGUGCAUGGCCGUUCUUAGUUGGUGGAGCGAUUUGUCUGGUUAAUUCCGAUAACGAACGAGACUCUAGCCUGCUAAAUAGACAGUGAAUCGUUAGUUCACUGUACUUCUUAGAGGGACAAGCGGCUUCUAGCUGCACGAGAUUGAGCAAUAACAGGUCUGUGAUGCCCUUAGAUGUUCGGGGCUGCACGCGCGCUACACUGAAGGAAUCAACAUGCAUUCUACCUUACCCGAAAGGGUUUGGUAACCCGUUGAAACUCCUUCGUGAUUGGGAUAGGGACUUGCAAUUAUGGCCCUUGAACGAGGAAUUCCCAGUAAGUGCGGGUCAUCAGCUCGCGUUGAUUACGUCCCUGCCCUUUGUACACACCGCCCGUCGCUACUACCGAUUGGAUGUUACAUCGAACUGUUCGGACCGAUGUCGAAGCGGCUUCACGGCUGCUUCGGUCGUUUGGAAAGAUCCGUUAGAUUUGACAUCUAGAGGAAGUAAAAGUCGUAACAAGGUU
rnacentral:rRNA from 1 species